GGGGUUUAUUUUUUUACUAAUAUAGAAAUAAGGAGGUGAAAUUUUUAAAUUUUUAAUAUUAAUUAUAAUUAUAAACAAUAUUAGAGGCUAUAAAUAUUUGGGUUUAAAUUAGGAUUAGAUACCCUAUUAUACCAUUUGGAUAAUUAUUUCGCUUGAGUAGUAAUCAGUUAUGUUCUUGAAACUUAAAGGAUUUGGCGGUAUUCAAGUCUAGUUAGAGGAACCUGCUCUUUAAACGAUACUCCACGCAAUAUCUUACUUUUAUUUGUUAAUCAGUUUGUAUACCGCCAUUAGUAAGUAAUAUUAAUAAAUAAGUGCUGUAAUAAAUUUAUUUAGUAUAUUAGGUCAAGGUGCAGCUAAUAUAAAAGUUGUAGUGGGUUACAGUAUAUUAUAUAUGCGGACAAAAGUUAUAAAAUUUUUUUGAAUUUGGAUUUAAUUGUAAUCAUAUUUUAAUAAGGUAUUAUGAUAAUAGCUCUAGAAUAUGCACACAUCGCCCGUCGCUCUCAUUA
rnacentral:rRNA from 1 species